UACGAAGGGGGCUAGCGUUGCUCGGAAUCACUGGGCGUAAAGCGCACGUAGGCGGAUCUUUAAGUCAGGGGUGAAAUCCCAAGGCUCAACCUUGGAACUGCCUUUGAUACUGGGGAUCUCGAGUCCGGAAGAGGUGAGUGGAACUACGAGUGUAGAGGUGAAAUUCGUAGAUAUUCGCAAGAACACCAGUGGCGAAGGCGGCUCACUGGUCCGGUACUGACGCUGAGGUGCGAAAGCGUGGGGAGCAAACAGG
rnacentral:rRNA from 1 species